rnacentral:rRNA from 1 species
UACGUAGGUGGCAAGCGAUACUCGGAAUCACUAGGCGUAAAGCGCAGGUAGGCGGUUUGGUAAGUCUUUUGUGAAAGCUCCCGGCUCAACUGGGAGAGGUCCUUGGAUACUGGCGGACUUGAGGGAGGCAGAGGAAAGUGGAAUUCCCGGUGUAGUGGUGAUAUGCGUAGAUAUCGGGAGGAACACCAGUGGCGAAGGCGGCUUUCUGGGCCUUACCUGACGCUGAGACGCGAAAGCGUGGGGAGCGAACCGG